rnacentral:lncRNA from 1 species
GAAGCCCAGUGCCGCGCUGGACUCCACUCUUCUCCAGUGACCUGUGGCUGCAAGCCAGAGCUAGUCAGGGCCAGCGAGGUGGAGGGUGACUCCAAGAUUACCUUGCCUCAGCACACACGAUGCAAGCUCCAUUUCUUUGCCCACCCCCGCCCCUGCUUCUGGUAAGACGGAGAACUGGAGCAGAAGGAGGAGGGAACGUGUUUUCGGGCUAGAAAUACCUUAGUCUCCCUUACGAGGAUAAAUCACAAUCGAGGUACAAAAAUGACUCUUUGCCUUGCAGCGGAUAUGAGAGCACAUCAUCAGGGAAAGGGCGUAGUGGACCACCAGGUGAGGACUCUACAGAAAGGGCUUUCAGCAGCAACAAGAUGUGGCAGCAAGAAGCAGCAGCAGGACCAGGAAGAGCAGCCCAAUCCACAACCAGGGCACUUGCCACACAAGUUUGUCCUUUAAAGAUGACACCUCUUUCAUUUGGAUUUAUAAGGCUUUGCAGUCUAAUUUUUCUCAAAACUUGAUUAUACAUUUAAAGACAGGAGAAUCCCAGUAAGGAGAACUACAUAAGCAAAAGUGAAAAACUAGAAAUGCUAUCAUAGCUGUAAGAAGCAGUAAGUGCCUGAAUUCUCUUUCCAUGUGUUUAUUAUUACAGUUUGUCUGUGCUCUAAAUUUAAAAACUGUUUAUCCCUCCUCACAUCAGAAUGUGUCAAAAAAAAAAAAAGCAUAAGCUACAUUUACCCAACUGGAUUUGUCAAGAUAGAAACCAUUUUUUCCUUCUUCCCUUUGUUUUACUCAAGAUAUUUGGUCCUCCUACUUGGGUCCCAAAUGGGAGAAAAUAAUAAUCAACGAUUGAUUUAUUUGUGUGGACAAAAUGAUUUGAUGCUGUUUCUUGUCGUUGACAGAAUGAUCUGGGUGGAAUUGCAUUCCAUUGAUAAAACUGUGAUGAAAUGUUAUUUGUUGGAUGAAUAAAGUUAGAAGUCAAGAGAAAUUGCUUUGGCUC